rnacentral:misc_RNA from 1 species
AUUGAGACGAUUUCCACUUGCUUUCCACAAUUAAGUCAUCUAUCAUUGAGCUAUGAACUAAGAGAGACAGCACUUCAUUAUGAAUCGCAAGAUUCUUUUCAAUUGGAAAAUGUGACCGUCUUGGAGCUUGGAUGGAUGGUCAUUGGCGACCUGUUCUCCCAUUGGGUAGCAGGACUACUGGAAAGGUGCCCUAACUUGAGGAAGUUGGUAAUCUACGGAGUCGUCUCAGAAACCAAAACACACGAA